GAAUUGGUGGAUAAGUGGUAGAAUUCUCAUAUUCCAUGUUAGAGACCCAGGUUCAAUUCCUGGCCAAUGCA
rnacentral:tRNA from 1 species